GGCGGACGGGUGAGUAAUGCUUGGGAACAUGCCUUGAGGUGGGGGACAACAGUUGGAAACGACUGCUAAUACCGCAUAAUGUCUACGGACCAAAGGGGGCUUCGGCUCUCGCCUUUAGAUUGGCCCAAGUGGAAUUAGCUAGUUGGUGAGGUAAUGGCUCACCAAGGCGACGAUCCCUAGCUGGUUUGAGAGGAUGAUCAGCCACACUGGGACUGAGACACGGCCCAGACUCCUACGGGAGGCAGCAGUGGGGAAUAUUGCACAAUGGGCGCAAGCCUGAUGCAGCCAUGCCGCGUGUGUGAAGAAGGCCUUCGGGUUGUAAAGCACUUUCAGUCAGGAGGAAAGGUUAGUAGUUAAUACCUGCUAGCUGUGACGUUACUGACAGAAGAAGCACCGGCUAACUCCGUGCCAGCAGCCGCGGUAAUACGGAGGGUGCGAGCGUUAAUCGGAAUUACUGGGCGUAAAGCGUAC
rnacentral:rRNA from 1 species